CCUACUGGUGGCAGCAGUGGGGAAUAUUUCACAAUGGGGGAAACCCUGAUGCAGCGACGCCGCGUGAGUGAAGAAGUAUCUCGGUAUGUAAAGCUCUAUCAGCAGGGAAGAAAAUGACGGUACCUGACUAAGAAGCCCCGGCUAACUACGUGCCAGCAGCCGCGGUAAUACGUAGGGGGCAAGCGUUAUCCGGAUUGACUGGGUGUAAAGGGAGCGUAGAAGGCCCUGCAAGUCCGGAGGGAAAGCCCAGGGUUUAACCAUUGUACUGCUCUGGAAACUGUGGAGCUUGAGGGCGGGAGGGGCAGGCGGAAUGCCUAGUGUAGCGGUGAAAUGCGUAGAUAUUAGGAGGAACACCGGCGGCGAAGGCGGAUUGCUGGACCGUAACUGACGUUGAGGCUCGAAAGCGUGGGGAGCAAACAGGAUUAGAUACCCGUGUAGUC
rnacentral:rRNA from 1 species